UCUGGCGACCGGCGCACGGGUGAGUAACACGUAUCCAACCUGCCCUUUACUCGGGGAUAGCCUUUCGAAAGAAAGAUUAAUACCCGAUAGCAUAAUGAUUCCGCAUGGUUUCAUUAUUAAAGGAUUCCGGUAAAGGAUGGGGAUGCGUUCCAUCAGGUUGUUGGUGAGGUAACGGCUCACCAAGCCUUCGAUGGAUAGGGGUUCUGAGAGGAAGGUCCCCCACAUUGGAACUGAGACACGGUCCAA
rnacentral:rRNA from 1 species